AAGAUCAUACUUCACAGGAUCAUUUCUGUAGUAUAUCUCAUCGGGCAGUACCGCUCCACAAGCCAGUGGUGGU